rnacentral:lncRNA from 10 species
CGUGGACGUAGGACCCUCCGAGCCAGGUGCAGGAUAUGAUCUCCUGGUGCGCCGCUUUUUUAAGCCCGUCGGAAAAGCGCAGUAUUCGGGUGGGAGGGACCGGAUUUUCCAGGUGCCGUCUAUCACCCCUUUCUUUGACUAGGAAAGGGAACUCCCUGACCCCUUGCACUUCCUGAGUGAGGCAAUGCCUUGCCCUGCUUCGGCUCCCGCUAGGUGCGCUGCACCCACUGACCUGCGCCCACUGUCUGGCACUCCCUAGUGAGAUGAACCCAGUACCUCAGAUGGAAAUGCAGAAAUCACCCGUCUUCUGCGUCGCUCACGCUGGGAGCUGUAGACCGGAGCUGUUCCUAUUCGGCCAUCUUGGCUCCUCCCGACAUUCGAUGUUUCACCAUCAAGUAUGACAUUAGCUGUUGGUGAUGCAGCAGCUGAAAUCCACCAUGUCCCUGGAGAUGCUGGUGUGGGCAGGUCGCAAGCCACUGGUAUUGGCUGCAAUGGAUACUGAACUUGACCAAAUCUUUUCAUUCUAAUCCUUCUAAAUGCAUUAUACAAAGAAAUCAACCUAAUAGAAGAAUGCUUUACAAUAUAAUUAUUGGCAUGACUAUCAGCAAGGAAAGUAUUCAUCCUUCUUUUAAAAAUAGCUAACCUUUGCACGCAUAACUUAAUCGUGAGUUUUAAUAUGUAGAAGUUUCAGGUAACUGUAUACAUCGAUUCAUGUCAGAGCAAUACUUUGAAAAAAAGAGUUCAAUGUUAAUAUAAAGUCUGAAAGAAAGGGCCAAAAGAUCAAGAAUUGGCACCCUUUCCUUUAGAUUUAUGUCAGGCAUAUUGUCCUCUUCAGGCAGCCACGUCCAACAGCUACUCUGUAUCCCUUGAAUGUUCUGAAACAAAUCAUGCCUGUGAUCUGCAGAGAAAACGUGGAGGGACUGGAAAUGGAUCUCGUCUGUCUUCUUUUCUAGAAGACAAGGGAAAGGGGGCAACUAGCGAAGAAAGGUCAGCUGGGGUGGGGGUACCCUUUAGGGAAAACAUACAAGAUGGCUUCAGGGACAGACAUAAAUGGAAAUGGCUAUAACAGUCUUAGAUGGACAAGGCAGCUGGAAUACAGAUGGGCCUACUGCCAGAGAUGGGAUGGCUUAGACACUCAGGAAUGGGUGAAAGGGGCUUUAUGUGAACAUGAUAAACAGAGGGAGAUUCAGGUAUCAAAACCAAGAGGACCUAUUUGUGGAACACAUGAGCAGGGAUGUCAGAAUUUGGCAAGGAAAAAAAUUAGUUUAAUUCACUUAAAAAGUAGAUUUUAGAACAAAAUGGAUUUCUUUUUAAAAUACUUGAAUCCAAUCAUUUGCUGAAUUUAUGCUGAGAAUAGAUUCAGAAGAAAAGAAGACGUGAAAGAGAAUGUGUUUAGCCUAAAAAGUAUGCAGGGGAAACAAAUGCUGAGAAAACAUAGUAAGGGUGAGGGCUGGGUGGAGUCUGAGAGACAGAUGAGCAAGAUUAUGUAAAGGGAAAGCAGGAAAAGGAAAGAUGAAGAAGUCAGACUAGACAAAGAUGCUAUUCCAAAACUAUCAAAGGAAAGAGAGUGCCUAAUAUGGGCAACUCAACUGAAGAAAAAUACACUAAACAUGUAUACUAAACAUGUGAUAGUUAUCAUGAAGCAUGCUGAUAAGUGUUAUUUUAAAAUGAUACAUUUUGCAGUGGCCACAUUGUAGCUUGUGAACAUCCUGAGUAAUGAGUUCCUUCUGAAGACUAGAAAAAUGUACAUGUAACUUGCUUUUUGUCAUUCAGUACUAAUAGCCAGUUCAGGUACUGAGGAAUAAAUAUCUUGGGAAAAGACAUUUUAUUUAUUUUAAGAACAUGCUCACUGACCUAACCUUUUGCUCCCUCCAUUGACAUAAGCAGCAUAGCCCAAAUAAAUCAAAAAGGUAGUUUUCCUUCAUGUUAAGGUCAGAACACAUAGCAUAGGAACAUAAAGAAUAAAAAGGAGCAAUCAAAGAAUUCUCAGGCCAGGCGCGGUGACUCAUGUCUGUAAUCCCAACACUUUGGGAGGCUGAGGUGGGCAG